UAAAAUACUACUAAUAAUAAUAAUAAUAAUUUAUUUGGUUUAAUAAAAGUCACGUCAUUCACAUUCAGGUGUUCUGCCUGUAAGUAGACCUGACAGAGUUGAGAAGUGCAUACUGUUGUGCCCCCUGCACCUGGUCUGCUUGCACAUGCGCAGUGGAAAUCUGCCGGUACUUUGGAGGCGGCGGAUUUGAAUGGGCCAAUCAGCUCGCUGCAUCUGAGGACCCGUCGGACUGAGUUUGUACAGAGAGACUUCUCAUCCACCCUUAUCCAUCAGAGCUGCUCUCUUUCUCAGGUCAUGAAGAUGCUCAGAGUGCUGCAAGUGCUACCACACAAGAAUCCAGUGUGCCAGAUGCAGAAGACACAGUCACAGGCGGACCAAAAGAGGUUGAGAUGGAGGCUGUGCCAGCAACAACCUGCCUUAUUGUGUGUGGGUCCUCUUGCUUCACUGCUGACUGCUUCAUGUUGAGCAUUGAUCAGAAGAUUGUCAACGACCACAUCACUGCCUUCCCCUGUGCCAUCUGCCUCAUGUUUGGCAGUUACUAUUGCUUCAAUAUACACUGCCCAGUGGGACUGCGAUCAACACUGGAGUUCCUCCGGAGGUGUUUCUUUUCAAUAAAUCCGGAGAGAGGAACGAAAGUUGAGCACAGCAAAAGGAGGAUGUCUUUGCUGUGAACCCAGGAGUCCUCACACUCAUCGCUGACCUUGCAGACCAUGAGUGGACUUUAGUGGACCAUACUUCGUGAGUCAUGUGAUGUGAGGUGUAAUGUUGUUGUAAUGUUGCAGUAUGUAUGAGUGUACACAGUGUAAGAUGUGUACACUUUUUCCAUCUUCAUGUACAGCCUUGCAAAUGAGGUGAGGUGGUUGUUUAUGUUGGAGACUUUUUUUUAUAUGUGUGUAUAUAUAAAUAGCAGAUAACACUGAUAACACAAACAAAAAGCAGGGUUCUGGUUUUAUGCUGCACCACUGUCACAGCUUAAUGAACCUGUGGUGAUUUUACUGUUACAAGUUAAAAGAUCUGAACAGCAAGAACAGUCAGUAGCAUUUUAGCUUUUACUUGCUAUUUCAGAAAAGAUAUAGUGCUGCCCACAUCUGUUAGAAAGUUCUUAUUACUGUGCAUUUAUGUCAAUUUCAUGUAGCAUGUUCUGUGUAUUCGGUGUGUACACAGUGUUGUGAUAAGUUUGUACAGCCUCACAAGUGUUCAUUAAAUGAAAAAUUACAAUGAAAAAGUUUGGUUUUUGGAUGUUUUAUGUACAAUGUGCUUAUAGUUUCCCAUGUUUUCACCAUUAGACAAAAAUGGUAACUUAUUGUUUUUCUGCUCUAAUCGAUUGACAAUUUUA